GAAACACCCCUCCGGGGCAAGACUUGCUUCAGUGGGGCUUUGGUGCUCACUGAGUCUGCACCCUGAAGUGUGUCCUU
rnacentral:pre_miRNA from 1 species